rnacentral:tRNA from 4 species
GGUCCGUUGGUCAAGCGGUUAAGACACCGCCCUUUCACGGCGGUAACACGGGUUCGAGUCCCGUACGGAUCA